rnacentral:rRNA from 1 species
AGAGAUUGCAAGCGUUAUUCGGAUUCACUGGGCGUAAAGGGUGCGCAGGCGGCCAAGUGUGUUAGGCGGGAAAGCCCGGGGCUUAACCCCGGAAUUGCACCUAAAACUACUUGGCUAGAGCAUUGGAGAGGGUAGCGGAAUUCACGGUGUAGCAGUGAAAUGCGUAGAUAUCUGGAAGAACACCAAUGGCGAAGGCAAUGUUCUGGCUCGUUUCUGACGCUCAGGUGCGAAAGCCAGGGGAGCGAACGGG